rnacentral:rRNA from 1 species
GACGAACGCUGGCGGCGUGCUUAACACAUGCAAGUCGAACGGAAAGGCCCCUUCGGGGGUACUCGAGUGGCGAACGGGUGAGUAACACGUGCGUAACCUGCCCUUGACUUCGGGAUAACUUCAGGAAACUGGGGCUAAUACCGGAUAGGAAUCCUUGCUGCAUGGUGGGGGUUGGAAAGCUUCGGCGGUUUUGGAUGGACUCGCGGCUUAUCAGCUUGUUGGUGGGGUAGUGGCUUACCAAGGCUUUGACGGGUAGCCGGCCUGAGAGGGCGACCGGCCACAUUGGGACUGAGAGACGGCCCAGACUCCUACGGGAGGCAGCAGUGGGGAAUAUUGCACAAUGGGCGGAAGCCGGAUGCAGCAACGCCGCGUGCGGGAUGACGGCCUUCGGGUUGUAAACCGCUUUCAGCAGGGGCGAAGCUUGUGGUGACGGUACCUGCAGAAGAAGCACCGGCUAACUACGUG